rnacentral:rRNA from 1 species
CACGUAGGCACCAAGCGUUGUCCGGAUUUACUGGGUUUAAAGGGUGCGUAGGUGGGCAGUUAAGUCAGUGGUGAAAUCUCCGAGCUUAACUCGGAAACUGCCAUUGAUACUAUCUGUCUUGAAUAUCCUGGAGGUGAGCGGAAUAUGUCAUGUAGCGGUGAAAUGCUUAGAUAUGACAUAGAACACCAAUUGCGAAGGCAGCUCACUACGGGAUUAUUGACACUGAGGCACGAAAGCGUGGGGAUCAAACAGG